GGGAUUUCUGAAUCAGGCAUGAUGUUUAAAUAUUCCCACGAGGAUGCGGCUUUUAGUUAGGUUUAUAUUUCCUCUUUUGACUGCGUGCAUUUUAAGAGCCAUCUUAUCCUAAGCUCUGUCCACAUCACUACAGUGGUGUGGAUGGGGACACGAACAAGCACUGUCAGCUGGCAAGGACCACAGUGCCAGAUUCAAAGAUAAACGAGGUGAAUACAGUUUGCGACUGGAAUUGUAUAGAUGGCUUUCUCCUUCAGCCACCCUAAACCUGUCUCCACUUACUGGAAUACAUGUACAAGUUGCAUGAGAUUUCUUCCUGAUGAGAAAAUUCUAAUUAUUUUUCCAUGGUUAUGUUCAUCAUUUACAUCAAAUUUAUAUCCUCAGCCUAGAGAACCGAAGCCUCAUGGUGUUUUAUUUUCAGUAGAGUGCCUGUCAUGUGAACUGACUAUAGGAUGGUCUGUUGUUCUUGAUAAAAUCAGUUUGAUAAAGAUCAGCUGUGGUCUCAAUGCAUCUUUGGUGACCGACCUCAUGGAACGCACAAUCAGGUCUCCUUCAGGUUGGAAGGAAUACCUUUAUUUGGAGGAUUGUCAGUUCAUUUUUCUCACUUCAAAUUCAUCAUUAUGACUUCUUGAGGCCAGAUCUAAUUUUGCAGUAGCCAGGAACCUGUCCAUCUUGGAGCAGCAAGCCCCUCAACUCUGGAGCACAAAUGAUCACUGAUACGGUCUGCAUAAAGUCAUCUGCCUCUAGUUUGACAGCCAUGAGAAGAGCCCCGGGGGCAAAAAAAGCCACAGCCUUAAAUCUCUUCACUCAGAAAUUACAAAGAAGAUUAAAAUAAAUAAGUAAAUAAAUAAAUAAAUACAUAAAUAAAUAAAUGUAAAGGACUGAGCAAGCAAGCCUACAAAACAAACAAACAAACAAAAAACAACCAAAAAAUAAAACUAACAAAACCCAGCUUAUUUUACCAUGGAAAUAAACAUUCCUAGUUGUGAACCCAAGAAAAUUUAUAUUCAGUAAUUCAGCUAGUGAAUUAUAAAUUGAUUUAUCAUUUGGGAAGGUGAGUAUAGAAACAGAAGGUCACUAUAGCUAGAACUACUCAGCAUUUCAAAAUACUGAGUAGACAAAACAAAAACAAAAACAAAACUGAACAGAGGAACACUGUAGCAAUGAACAGUAUUAGGACAGAAUGUUGCGGUUUGCAGAGAGAGAGAAUGUUUGCCAUUUUGUGUAUGCCCUCAAAGCCAUAAGGGAAUAAGAGCAGUGUUGUCAAUUGCUUGAAAGUUUCUGCAUUCAAUCCUUCACCCCAUAUUGGUUGAGAGAGAGGGAGGUCAGUUGUUACUGAUAAUUUCUCAAUGCUCUUCUACUAUUUGCACUGUCACUUCCAUUCAGGGUAAUGAUGUGUGCUGUUAUUUGCACAGAAGGUCCCUGGAGUUUUGAGACCACAACAGUUUCAUGUAGGAGUCCAAAAAGGAAAGAUUUAAGAAUUCUGCAGACAUUGAUUUCUCUGUCUUCUAUUAAAAGAAAAAAAUCAAUUAUCUCAUAAAAAAAUGGACUCAUCUCAGAUUACAGAACAACUAUAGAAUAACAAUGAAAAAAGCAUCAGUGUGGUCAAAUGAAUGAAAAAGGGAUCAAAAGUUUUUUUAGUGAAGAUCAUUUUAUAUCAUUAACAGCCAAGAAGUUACAAAUACAGUUAACUGUACACUAAACAUCUGUGUUGAACAUCUAUUCUCUUAAUUAAGAAAAUCAUUUGUAAUUUGUAUUUGACAUUUAAGAGUUU
ensembl:lncRNA